UGGGGUUAAUUUAAUAAUAUAAAAAAUUAUUAAAAUGUAAGUGUUCAAAGUAAAAUUUUAUAGUUCACAUAAUCCUAUCCUCGAAUGUUUACUCCCUAAAUUUCUAUAUAUGAGUGCUCUACUGUAUCAAGAAAAGUCCAACUAAAUUUAAUAAUUUACACAAUCAGUCAAUUAUAUUUACUUUUUUUUAAAAAAAAAAUGUUUAGGUCCCCGAAUAUUCUUUACAUUAAAGUCGAAUAAACAAAAGAUUAAAUUUAUUACUUUACUCUUUGAAAAAUAAAGUCCUAAAAUACCAAAAACAUUAGUUUAACUUUUACAAAAAUUUUAAUGUUAUAUCAAAUUCAACAUUUAUUUAGUACUACUUUAUUAAUAUGGUAAUCAAUUUUCAAUCAAAUUAUAAUAAUGUACUUGUAAUAAUGAUAUCUCAUUCUAUAUAAAUUUAUUGAAUUUCAUUCGUAAAUGUUUGAUUGCAUAGAUCUUAAAUUAAGUACCUAAAUUAGAUAAAAUUUCUUUUUACCGUGCAAGUUAUGACAUUCUUCAAUUUGCCUUACCAUAAAUGAAAACAUCAACAGCGUGCACCGUAAAAUUUGACCGACUCUGAGCUUUUAGUGGUUAAAGAGGGAAAAUAGAUUUUUUACUUCAACAUUAUCAAUAUUAAAUUGCAAAAAAAAAAAAUCAAGACAAAUGAAAUAAAUUAAAAUUUAAUAGAAAUGCAAUAUUAAUAAAAGGCGAAGAAAAACAAUAAAGAAUAGAAAACAAUCAUCCCCAAUUUUUUCAUCUCAUCUAAAAUGAAUAAUAGAAGCACAAUCUACUAGAAGAUUAUGUGGUGAAAAAACUGUGAUCAUAGUAAUGUGUUUCACACGCGAGCGCGCGCGCACACACACACACACACACGUACGUGUGUGUGUAUAGUACACAUCAAUAUAUCUAUUACAAUCAAAAGUCAUCUAUUGGGAAUAUUUUAGAUUAAAUCUAUUGUAGCACAACCCCAAUUUCUACCCUCACAUGGCUAGAGAGAGUUUUCUUGGACUAGCUCAUAAGUUAUAGCUCUCCUAACUAACUAAAUGUAUUUUAAAUAGCAAAGCUCAACGACAAAACUAAGAUUAAAAUUCUCUCAUGAUUUGAUCUCCUCCUGAGCAAAAAUAUAUAUGAACGAUUGGUAAUUAAUAAAUAAAUAAAAUAAAGAAGUUAAAUCCUACUUAUACAAUAACACUUAAAGACAUAUGACAUAAGAUUUUAAAACCUCAUGAGAGCUCAAAUCAGAAGAUGAUCUUUAUCCACAAAACUAUGACGGCUUGUGUGCCUAAAGCAGUUUGUGGGCCUGGCCUCUUAAAUAAUAGGUUUAAUGCCAUAAAAAUAGUGGAGCUUUUAACACCCCGCCGAAAUCCUUAUAACACUCCAUUUAAAUUUUACUGCUUAAAAUGUCCCAAAUUAAUUUAUAAAAUACUAACCCAUAAAUUAAAACCAAUCAUCGUAUCAUUAAUGGCAUGUUUGCUUACCAACAAUCAAAAUGAAAAUUCUAGAAUCGAAAUUAAUGACGUAUAUAUUUGUAAAAUUAAGGUUUAGAAUCAAAAUCAAAAUAGUGUCGAGCCUAUAAAUUUAGGAAUCAUUCCUUUAGUUUUGAUUUUCAAGGAGAAGUGGGGUUAGGAGUUACAAUUUUAUUCCCAGGACUACCUAUCUUACACCUAAAUUUUCAUAAUCUCCAAAUUGCCUUCAAUUCACUUAUGUUUUUGUUUACAUUUUUGUCCUUACAGAAUUUAUUAAAAUGCCCCAAAGUUUCGUAUUAUUUGCAAAUAGGUCCUUUAUUAUUAAUAAUAAUAACGAUAACAACAACAACAACAACAACAAUAACAACAAUAACAACAAUAACGAUAAUAGGUCCUUUACCAUCACCACCACUACCAUCAUCAUUAUUUAUUAAUGUCAUUAUUAUCAUAUUACUAUUAUUGUU
rnacentral:lncRNA from 1 species